UUAAAAUCACCUAUUUAGUGUCCAUAUAAGUCCACUAAUAAUAAAAAUGGUUUAAUUAUCAUUUAAAUCCCUUAAAAAUUUAAUUUCAUAGCUAAUAGAUACAUUUAACUAAUAGAACUCUACUUUUGCACCAUUUACGAUUUAGACCUUUUCACUUAAUUAAGCAUGCAAGCGUCAAAAUUUCUUAACGACAUUUUUAUACUACACUACCAACAUACCGUAGAUGUUAAAAUAAUAAUAAAAUAAAUAUUUUUUUAUAUUUGAGAUCCCAAAAUUACUGUUUCGGUUUCACUUAAAAUGGGUCGUUACAUACUACAUUAGUGGAGAGG
rnacentral:lncRNA from 1 species